AAGUGCUUCCACACUUGGGCUUUGGCUUUCUCAUUAGAAACAACUGACCACAUCGCCAUCUUGGGGUCCUGGAUGUUGAUGAGUGAAGUGAACGAAUGCGCAUGCACUGAGAAAUAAACUCUAUCUUCGCAAACUUGCAUUUUGGAAUUUACGGAAACAUUUUGAAAGAUGCACUCACUUGGUGGGGUCGUAACCUCUGGUUGACCUGUGACCUGGAUGAGCGUCCAGGGUCUUCUUGUCCAGGUUGUCAUCAUACAUGUAGGUGGUGGGGUCACACCAGGUCUUGGGGGCCAGAAAGAUUGUGGAGUACUUGUAAGAGAUCCUCAGCCCGGGGUAGCGCUUUUCCUUCUCCCUCACGUCAAGCUGGUGGAACGUCCCUGGAAGCUGUUCCCGAAGCAGGUCACUUGUGUACUCCUUCAGCAGGUUGAAGUAGCUCUCCACGUACUUCGAUCUGUCCACAGGCUCUUGAGAGCGACGGAAUUCCUGUGACAGUUAUUGCCCUCACCUUCUUGCUAGGUGUAAGCCUGGGAUGGUAGAUUGUCUCCCCCUGGUUGUUAAUGAGGAAGGAGUAGACGUUGCCCCACUGGUGCUUGGUGAGG